rnacentral:rRNA from 1 species
UAACGCGUAUGGAACCUACCUGAAACAGGGGGAUAGCUUCCGGAAACGGGGAUUAAUACCCCAUACGAUUCAUUUGUGGCCUCACAAAUGGAUAAAAGCUACGGCGGUUUCAGAUGGUCAUGCGUACCAUUAGUUAGUUGGUGAGGUAAAGGCUCACCAAGGCGAUGAUGGUUAGGGGUCCUGAGAGGGUAGUCCCCCACACUGGUACUGAGACACGGACCAGACUCCUACGGGAGGCAGCAGUGAGGAAUAUUGGUCAAUGGGCGCUAGCCUGAACCAGCCAUGCCGCGUGCAGGAAGACGGCCCUACGGGUUGUAAACUGCUUUUCUGCAGGAAGAAUAUAUAGUCUUAGGGCUAUAUUGACGGUACUGCAGGAAUAAGCAUCGGCUAACUCCGUGCCAGCAGCCGCGGUAAUACGGAGGAUGCAAGCGUUAUCCGGAUUCAUUGGGUUUAAAGGGUGCGCAGGCUGUAAAGCAAGUCAGUGGUGAAAGCCCUGGGCUUAACUCAGGGAUUGCCAUUGAAACUGUUUUACUAGAGUGUAGUAGAGGACGGCGGAAUGAGUUGUGUAGCGGUGAAAUGCAUAGAUAUAACUCAGAACACCUAUUGCGUAGGCAGCUGUCUAUACUACAACUGACGCUGAGGCACGAAAGCGUGGGGAGCGAACAGGAUUAGAUACCCUGGUAGUCCACGCUGUAAACGAUGAUCACUCGUUGUUGGCUACUUAGUAGUCAGUGACCAAGGGAAACCGAUAAGUGAUCCACCUGGGGAGUACGUCGGCAACGAUGAAACUCAAAGGAAUUGACGGGGGCCCGCACAAGCGGAGGAACAUGUGGUUUAAUUCGAUGAUACGCGAGGAACCUUACCUGGGCUUAAAUGCUGGCUGCAUUGGAGGGAAACCUUCAUUUCCUACGGGACCGCCAGCAAGGUGCUGCAUGGUUGUCGUCAGCUCGUGCCGUGAGGUGUCGGGUCAAGUCCCUUAGCGAGCGCAACCCCCAUCGCUGAUGCCAGCAUGUAAUGGUGGGGACUCUAGCGAGUCUGCCGGUGUAAACCGGAGGAAGGUGGGGAUGAUGUCCAAUCAGCACGGCCCUUACGUCCAGGGCUACACACGUGUUACAAUGGCCGGU